GGACGAGGUGGUCACUACCUGGUAAUCGUCCCCAAAUUUCCUUCGGAUUGCAGACAUAAUAUGGAGGGGCGAGCCAGAUUCAAACGCGAAGCGAAGGCGCAGGAGCCAAGCGCUGCAAACCAGCACCAAUAAAAAGGAUUACAUAAGAAAGGAAAGUGACACCGUGGGAAGUGAAAACUGCUCUGGUCCUGGAAUCAUAAGACCUGAUUUGGAUCCUGGCUGUGUCAUGUACAAGCUGUGUGACCUUGAGCAAGUAGCUGAACAAUUUUAAGCUCCAUUUUUCUCCUCUAAAAAAAAUGAAAGGUUUACAUUUUCCCAGUAUUGAUAGAAAAAAAAUAGAAUGAAUGUGGUUUUAUUAUUUCAGCUGUGACUGAUGUUAUAUACCUGACGGCUAAGUUUCAGCAAAGCCAAGAAGAGAUUGUGAAUGAGUUUUGGGAGUUAACAUUAUGCUGUGAACUAACAUAUAUUCCCAUCUACUCUCUGACUACAACCUCAUCCUAGCUCACUUUGCCCUUUACAAUUGUCUUCUUUCAAUUCCUGAAACACAUCAAGGCAUACUAACCCAACCCUAGGCAUCUGCCCUGUUUUCUCCUUCUUCAAUGUCCUUGUCCUACUACUCCGUGUUGCUGUUUCUUUAAGUCAUUCAGCACUAAACCCAAGUGCAUCUUCCUUGGGGUAUCCUCCCCUAGUGUCGCAGGUACUGCUUACCACAUCAACUGGGUUCAUUUUCAUUUUUUUUUUUUUACUUUUUUCUAGUUGCUGUUUUCUUCAUUUGUUUGAUGUCUCUCUCCCCCAUCAUUACCAAGUAUAGAAUGUAGGCUCUAUGAGAGCAAGGACCCUGUCUUGUUCUCUGGUAUAUCCCCAAUAUCUAGAACAGUACUCGUCUCAUACUAGGUUCAAAGUGUUUGUUGGAUGAGUGACAUAUGACAAUCUAUGUCACUAGAAGCCCAACAUGCAUUGCAGCUCUCUCUCUAGUAAAUCAGAAUGAAAUCAGGUUACUUACAUGGUUUAACAUAAAAGAAAUGUAUACCCAAAAGAAAAGAUUAAUACUUCCUAUGCUCAUUAGCUUCAGAUUUGAUAUUCAAUCAUGUCCCAAGUCCUUUUAUUUUGAUGUAAUAUCUCUCAGAUGAUUCCCUCUCUCUCUUUAAAACAUUACCAGUAACCUUUUAUGCCCACACUCAAAUUAUUCUCCUGACUUUAUUGUCUUUCUUUCCUUCAGACUAUCCUAGGUAGUAUUAUUAAAUGUAUUGCCUUAAAAUAAUAAAGUAGCAUUGAAACAAAUACCCAAGUAUUCUCUAGUUACUUCCAUUUUCAAGAUUUAAAUAUUCCCUUUAAAAAAAAACUGUUCCAUGAAAAAUAUUUGUCAUUUUAUAACAACCAAAUUUAUAGACAAAUAAUUUUAUAUUUUAAAAGACAUGCCUGAUCCUUUCAUUUUACAAAUGAGCAAAUUGAGGCUUUGCCAUCCCUUGUCAACAGAGUUAGAAAGGAGUGGAAGAUUUCUGACCCAUAGAUAGGAUCCCCCUCCUCUUUAGAGCAUGUCUCAUUUAUGUCCUAGCCUUGUCUUCCAGAUUAUUUCCUACCUUUCCUUUAACGUGUGCUCUACUCUAGCCAAUUUUAAUGAUUAGCAAUUCUCAAAAUAUGUCCCAUAUUAAUUUCAUUUGUUCACCUUAUUUCUCAUCCAUUAGAUGAACACCCAAAUUCCCAGCACUAAAAAUAAAAAUUAAUAUAUAUAUUCUGUAUUUAUAUCUAGAUAAUAUAUUAAUAUAUUAUUAUUUAUUAUUAUUAAUAUAUAUAAUUAUAUAUAUUCUGUAUUUAUAUCUAUCCCUGAGAAGUCCAAAUUACAGUGACUAGUGUGCAAGAAAAUAAAAGAAUUUCUUCAUAUUUUAUUUCAAUUGCUACUUCUUAUCCUCCCACUAACAGCAUUCUAUCAUUUCUCUAAAUUCCCAUUUUCCUAGAUUCGUAAUACAGCAUUUUUCACAUUAUGGUAGAUACUUCAGGUUAGAAUUACCCAGUACUGUCCCUGUGGAAGGGAAAGCACCCUGAGCAUUCCCCUGAUAAUGUUUUGACACCAUCAUCUACUCCGGUGAUCCAUCUCAGUCUUGCAUAUGGUAAAUAUUUAAUAGAGUUUCAAGGAGGACUAACAUUUAUUAAGAACCUACUUGAUGUGCCAGGCAACAUGCUUGGAACUUUAAGGUUAGUAUGUGUAUUACACAGCUAAAAAUACAGUGGAGCAGAAUUUCCAAAACACAUCUGCUCAUAUCCAAGAUCUCUAUUCUCUUACAUACACAGGACUACCUGAUAAGUUAUGUAUUUUUCAAGAUGCCAUCAUAUCCCACUUUAAAUGUGAUUGAGGCUUUGACCUCUUUGUGACAUUAAGUCCAACUCCUUGAAAUUAUUUACAGAAUUCAUCUUUCCCUGUGAGGACAGCUGCUUCCAGGAUGAGGUUCUGGAGGGCAGCCAGCCUCAUGUGCCCAGGCUAGGCGGUAUGUGUAGGGAGUGCAUUGCAGAAGGCCGCCUAAUCAGGUGCUCUCAGUUGAGCCAAAGUAAAGCACAUCUCAUCCUGGAAGCCUAGGUCAAAGCCGAAUGGGUCAAAGCAGGGAGAGGCACAGAAUUUCAGGCCAGGAUACUAAACCAGAAAAAUCUGAAAAAUAUAACUGCAGAAUACACAGUCAUUUGGAGUCUAACAUUUAAAGAGAGGGUGGUAGAUUGUAAACAAACUAACAGAGUUCAUGGGGGCGGGGAGACCAAAGCUAUAUUUAAUAACAAACUACUCACAUAAGAGCAAGCUACAUUUUUAUUCUGCCUAGAAAAUACUCUGGCAAUGUCUUCUUUACUUUGUCCAGAAUUAGUAAUAUCAUGAAUAAAUAACUUCAAAAAUGAAGGAUAAGAUUUUGUAUUUUCUACUAAAAAGGCAUGACUUUGUACAUGCACUCAUCUUAUUAUGUAACUGAACAGUGUGGGGAAAAGAGUAUAUUGAAUCAAAAAGUAAAAACCUGCCCCUGAGAAGUCCAAAUUCUAAAAAUGACUUAAUCAGCCAACUGUGACAAAAGCAAGGCUUUGAACACCUCAAUAUACCUGGAGUCUGUAUUCUCGUCAUUCACUUAACUGCCACAGUGACACAUCAUGUGACAGUCUUCAAGGUCAGAAACAUUAAUUACUCUCAGAGGAAAAUAUUUUUAUAUUCUAUUUAGGAGGUUUACUCCUAAUCCUACCAUUUUCCCCAAAGUACAAUGCAGGGACGGACCUACCUGAAAAUCUUUCAUGCUUCAAAAGGUGACAUGCUACCACUGCCACCAUAAGUUUUUCUAUAUCUGGGAAGAGGUCACUCUUUGAAAUUCUAUAUGCAAUUUUAGGAAAUAGAAUGGUGUUCCUCUUUUUUUUUUAACCCUCCUAAAAAAGAAUACUGAAGUUAUUUUCUCUCUUGCCAAAAAAAGAAGAAAAAAAAUGAAAAGGAGGAAUCAGUUUGAGAUUUGAUUGCACAGACUUGAGAACAGAGGCAUUGCCAUACCAUGCCAGAUGACUCAUGAAACCUUUAAUCUUGACUCCAAACUCUGGCCUCUGCCUGAGGAUUCAGAGAAAGGCAAUAAGCCACUGUCACUUGGAGGCCAUUUAGUUAGCAAGGUUUUCCCAACUUAAACUCUCUCUUUACUGCAAACCUGUACCUUAGAGUACUCUGGUAUUUGAAAGAAUGAGGACUUUUUUAAGAGUCUCCUGGAACUCAACAUCCUUUAAGAGAAAAUAAUUGUUUAAUCAGACCUAGAGGUUUGUUGGCAGGGCAUUAAGAACAACAACAACAAAAAGUAUCCAGUGCUUACCCAAGUCAUGCAGUUGUACUCCUGAGGAAUUAAUUGUCCUUUGAUAACCCCAGUGAAGACCCAGAUGUCAAAACAUGUACAAGAAUGUUGCUUACUUAAUACAAUAGACAAUGCAUAGAUAUACUGGCCACUGUGUCAGUAGUUGUACAGGUCAGAAAAGAAGAAGACAUCAUGCCAACAACAUGUAUUAGCAAUAAUAUUUAAUACACUGUGGUGAAUACUUACAGGAAGAGGACUGUUUUAUUAGCAAUCGGAAGAAUGAGUCCCUUUAGGGAACACUGCUCUAGCUUGUGGGAGUUUUCCAAACCUAUCAAAUUGGAAUCGCUUACAUUUUGUUCAGCACACAACUACCUCUGUUCAAACUACUUUAUUUCAGAACUGGGACAAUACAUUUUUGAUAACAAGAUUUCUAAAAAGAGAAGAUUUCUACACAAUUAAGAAUAAAAUAUAAAAAUAAUUUGUAUCCGUAUCUAAUAUUUAGAAAAUAGUAAUGCAACUUUUAUAUUUUUAAAAAACUAUCUUAGGUAAUUAAGAAAGAUUGUGUGAGUGCAGCUUGUCUGGAAAGAAGAUAUUAAGAAGAAGCUGGGGCGAGAGAUUUCUUGGAAGGCAAAGCCUAGGACUAGUGAAAGGGAAGGAAAAGGAUGAGGCCGAGAGAUGCUUCAACUGGGAUACAGCUGUCACACUUGUGCUAUGGUUUGGAUGUAGUUUGAGGGUCUUUCCAAAGGGUUCAUGUGUGUUGAAAUUUAAUAGCUAUUGUAUUCAGAGGGUGGAAACUUAACUUGAUUAUGGCAUUUACUUUGGGAAGUGAUGGGAUUAGAAAAGAUUAUUAGGUUGGGGACUUCAUUGAACACUAGGGGCUCCUAAAAAGGCACAGAGACCAGAGGACCAGAGGAUGUAAGUACAGGUGUGAUCCUUGUCUUGUGGUCUCUCUUUGUCAUGUGAUGUCCUGGGCCUUUUCAGAACUCUGUUCAGCAAGACCACUAUCACAAGACGCAGGCCCUUGAACCUCCAGACCUAUGAGUUAAACAAACCUCUUUUCUUUAUUAUGUUAGCCUCAAGUAUGAAGUUGCAGAAAAAAAGAAUGGACUAGUAUUCCCAUGUAAGAGACUCAAACUCAGUGGGGAGCUUCAGAGCAGAAGUCACCAACUUUAGGCAGAGAUGGUCUAGUCCUAAUGGCUUCCUGAGCUACCGCUCACUGAGGGCUGCCUUUGGAAGAGCAUGUAUACUGCAACAGAUAUAAAAAAAAAA